CGCGCGAGCAGCGGCGCGUGGCGACCCGCGCACGUGCCCGCCCCCGCGCGGCGCGAGGGGAAGGCGGAGGCGGGGCCGGGGCAGCGCCCGCCGCGGGAGGGGCGGCGGCACCGGCGGGGCGGCCCCGGCGCGGCCAGCGGCGAGCGGGCGGCCGAGGGCGCGGAGCGGCGAGCCCGGCAUCCCGCGCAGCCCGCCCGGCGCGCCCGCGGCGAUGGAGCAGGACAAGUACCUGCCCGAGCUGAUGGCCGAGAAGGACAGCCUGGAUCCCUGCUUUGUUCACGCGAUGCGCCUCCUGGAAGACGAAAUGGAAAAAUUUCAGGGUUCCGAAGGCAAGAAGGAAGAUGAAGAAAAGAAAUACCUUGAUGUUAUCAGUAACAAAAACAUAAAGCUGUCAGAGAGGGUUUUGAUCCCUGUCAAACAAUAUCCAAAGUUCAAUUUUGUUGGGAAAUUGCUUGGACCAAGAGGAAACUCUUUAAAGAGGUUACAAGAAGAAACAGGUGCAAAAAUGUCCAUCCUGGGAAAAGGAUCCAUGAGGGAUAAAGCUAAGGAGGAAGAACUAAGGAAAAGUGGAGAAGCCAAAUACGCCCACUUGAGUGAUGAGCUCCAUGUAUUAAUUGAAGUGUUUGCUCCACCUGGGGAGGCGUAUUCUCGUAUGAGUCAUGCCUUGGAAGAAAUAAAAAAAUUCCUGGUUCCUGAUUAUAAUGAUGAAAUUCGCCAGGAGCAGCUGAGAGAACUUUCGUACUUGAACGGUUCUGAGGAUUCAUCGCGUGGACGGGGCAUUCGAGGAAGAGGGAUCCGUGUGCCACCUGCAGCUCCUUCAAGGGGCCGUGGGGGUGCCAUUCCUCCCCCGCUGCCUGGCCGAGGUGCCCAAGCCCCCCGAGGAGCGCCGGUGACACGCGGAGCGCUCCCCGUGCCUCCGGUGGCCAGGGGCGUCCCCACCCCUCGGGCCCGGGGCGCCCCGUCCGUGCCGGGUUACAGGCCGCCCCCGCCGCCCGCACACGAGGCCUACGAGGACUACGGAUACGAUGAUGGAUAUGGGGGUGAAUAUGAUGAUCCAAGCUAUGAGGCAUAUGAUAAUAGUUAUGCCACCCAAACACAAAGUGUGCCUGAAUAUUACGACUAUGGUCACGGAACAAGUGAAGAGGCUUAUGAGAGCUACGCACAAGAAGAAUGGGCCACGACCCGUUCCAGCCUAAAGGCACCACCUCCAAGGUCAGCCAGAGGGGGAUACAGGGAACACCCCUAUGGUAGAUAUUGAAGGUCCUCCUCAUCUGUGACCUCAUCUCAAAGACAAUUAAUAGCCUGUGGUCUCCACAUAAACAGCAACAAGACAAGGACUCACAGGCACUGGACAGCUAAGCAGCAGAUCUGCUGGCAAGUGGUCAGAUUUUUGGAGCCUUAGGGAAGUACUGUACCUUUUGAAUGGUGUUCAGGGAACUGAGAGUGCUCAACAUCAUUUGCAAUAAAUCACUUGCUUCCGAAGGACAGCCUCAGGUUGGGACUCUCCACAGCCCUCAGUUCUGGACCUGCCAUUACCACCCUCUCUAAAAUAUGCUACCACUCAGAGUUACAGUGAUCUUCCAGUCUGUCAGGUAGAAUUAAAUGUUGGAAAAUACUCAGCCUAAGCUAAUAGACAUAAGACACUACGGACCAUACCAGCAAUGAUGAAAGCUCUCAGUGACUCGCAGUCCUUACUGGUGAGUUCUGUAGGUAUAUCUGUAGUCCCUCUGCAGCAUCUAAGUUUGGGUGUCUAAUCUCUCCUUAUAACACUGAUACAGUUAGCUAGGGCUGAAUCUAGCCUUUAGGCUGUGUCCUGAACUCUCUUUUCUCUCAAAGUCAAAUAUUAUUUUUAGCUUUUAUUGACCUGACCAUCUGACUCCACUCAGCAUUUGUUUCUGGUCAAAUGCACUGCUCCCCAUCUAGGUCUGAACUGACUUACCAAAGAAGUUGUGUUCUUCAGGCAUGAAAUGGGUUUUUAUUACUGAGGUCCACAGUGCAGAUCAUUGGAAGUUACGUAAUAAUAUGAAAGGACAUAUAAUUGAAAGGCUGUCAGAAGAUAAAAGGGUAUCAACUUCCCAGAGCAUUCACAUUGCAACUCCUGAAGCUGGCUGACAUUGAAAGAGUGAUUCACUGUUCAGUGCUGGCCCCUCUGGUAGCAGCUCUGCUCCUCCUCACUGCUGCCUGUUGAAAUAUCACAGUCUGCAGCAUGGAAUUUAAUACAGGAGUUUUCCAUUAAAGACAUUAGCUGCUGCAUUUCUCAGUUACUUCUGGCUCAACUCACCUGCUGGGGACACAGUACCUUGUCCUUGAAUAGGCAGGACUGCCUUCAUUCUACUCUUCCCACUGGAGCAGCGAGAAGUAGAGUGUGAGUAUGUACUGAGCAAUGCACAACAAGUGAGUAACUGCAAUACAGGCAUACAUUAUUCUUAGAUUUGUUUUAAAUGUCAAGCAAUAAUACGUAGGAAGUAAAAGUAAGUCUUUAACUAUCCUGACAUUCUCCUAAAUGUAAAAAACCAUAAGAGGUGCCUGUAUUUACUACAAAUAAUAAAACUGGAGCGUUACACUAAUCAAAUUCAAAUCAGUUCAACUGCAUAAUUUUCAGUGAAUAGGUGCUUAUAAAACACAGAAUGAACUCCAGAAGGGAAGGUUCAUUGCUUCCUAAUCAAAAGCAGUCAGCUUUAAACACCAGCCAGUCAGGUGAUAGGUUUGUCAUUUCUCAGCUCUGCUCUUGGAGGGAAUUUGCCAAGAAGGCUUGACAGCCUUUAAACUUCGCAGAGCAUUUUUUGCCUGUUUUUGAACAUCAUGUUGAGCUACAGAAAACUCCUGGGAGACUGGGAGGAGAGGCAGAAUAACAGCAGUUCUAUUAAAAUAUAUUUGCUGCAAUGAAUGUCAAGCAGAUUUUAUGGUGCAAAAAACCAAUUCCUGAAAAGAAAUUUUGACGCCCCCCUCAGGUCUGAUUCUUUCUUGUCUAAUGGUGUCCAGCUACUUUGGGGACUGAGGAGUGUCAGUGAUUAAUUGUCUGGGUGUCAAAGAAAUAAAGGCUCAUAAUGCAUCAUUAAAAGCUAGAAAUCAGGGUGUCUGAACUAUCAUGGGAAGUUUAAAAUUAAUAUAUUACCUCUAUGUACAAUUAACAGUCCCAAGUCAGAAAUCAUUUGCUUUUAUAAUUUAGAACAAUGGCAGCUCUCCAGUGAAAACGUAUUUACAGUAGUUUUACAAUGCUUUCUAGAGGCUUAGUACAAAAGGGAGAGACAAAAAUUAAUAUGCAGCAAGGCAGUUAAAGAGAAACCUGUCUUUGAACUGUUCUUUCAUUUUAAUCAGCAUGAGCUCUGCUAAGUAGGGAAAAGAAUUAUGAGUAGGAGGCUAGCAUCUAGGUUACUGAGGGCAAAUCACUCUCAGGGGAAUAAGUUUGCAAUCUGAGCAACAGUCUGAGCUGUGCAUGACUUGGGAUGAACAAGUCUUCUCUGUUUUAACCCAGCGUCAACAUCAAUUGCAAGGUGGCCAACCUCAACCAAAUUCCCCAACAUGAAGGUCUGUUCUCCCCUCCAAUGGCAAUUGUAACACUGUGCUAGAAGAAUUUUUCACUGUCUUUUAUUUCUAUUUUCCAAUGUCUUUCUAAUGUCAUUCUAGUGUUUUCUAUUUCACAUCCUCAGCUUUGGGACCUCAUACAUGUUUUAGUAAUUUUUGGUAUUGGUUUGAGUUCCAUUAAGCUUCUUAAAUUCUUAAAUAGCUUCUUGGAGGGAUUUUGUUGGAUUUUUUUUCCUGUAGCUUAGGUUAUAAAAGUAGCACCAUAAACAUUAACUGAAGAGCCAUUAAGCAGUAGGGCUGUUUGUUUUGGGUUGAUAGAGGACAUAAAACUUCAUACCCUGUGGUGGAAAACAAUUAGAUCUGAUGAUGAACAUGCUAUUAAAUAUACCAUUACCAGACUUCUAUCAGUUUAACUUUAGAAAAUAACAACCAGCUGUAGUCAAAGCAUACACAAAGGAUAGAAAGUCAUAUUUUAAUUGUCAUGUCAUAGCCUGUUAUAAAUAUUGUCAUUUUUAAUGUUUUAUGCUAAUGACAGUGACUAAUAGUAGUCAUUACCUCUGUUCAUUUUCAUAAAAAUUUCCUCUAGAGAAUAUGAUCACAGCUAGAGUGCUGUUUAAAAUUAAUUUUUUUUUUCUAAAAUAGGUAACAUAAAAAUAUUUAAAUACCGACAGGUUUGUUGACUAUUUAAUUUUGUAAUAGCAUGUGUUCGGCAACUCGAGCUUUUGUUAAUUGUGCCAUAAGUUGAACAGAUAUCCCUUUCAGAAAUAUUUUUGGCAUGCGAGCAUGUGUCAUGUCUCUGGUCUCUGAACAGUGGAAUAAAAGGUGAAUCUUACAGAAGCCAUAAAAAAAGUCUGAUGCUACCCCUGUAGAGGAUUAAUAUUAAGAACAUUGAAUUUUCUCAUCCAUUUCUUAUUUCAGUUAUGAAUUCUGCUUACUUGACAGGUACAGAGUACUUCAUUAUGUGCACGAACAGAAAUGCUUAAAUGGAUGAAGCAGCUAUUUACGUCUGAUAGGAGCUAAGUGGGACAUUAAAUUAAUGCCAAACAAGUUUGAGAGGGAAGGAAUUUCACAGAAUCACAGAGACCACAGUGAAUCACCUGAUCCCACUUCCCUUCUCAAGAAAGUCCAUCCUAGAGCACAUUGCACAGGCUUGUGUCCAGACAAUUCUUUAAUAUCUCUAGUGAGGGAGGCUCCACAAGCUCUCUGGACUAUCUAUUCCGGUGCUGAGUCACUGCAAAGUGUUUAAAGAUUUAAAAGAUUAAAGAAGUUCUUCCUCAUACUCAGGUGGAAUUUCCUGUGCAUCAGUUUCUGCCCAUUGUGUCUUGUCCUAUUGCUUGGUGCCACUGAGCACAGCCUGGAAACCUCCUCUUGACACCCAUCCUUUAGAUACUCAUACACAUUGAUGAGUUCCCCUCUCAGUCACCUCUUCUCGAGGCUCAACUGGCCCACCUCCCUCAGCCUUUCCUUGUAAGAGAGAUGCUCCAAUCCCUUAAUCAUCUUUGUUCCCCUCCACUGGACCCACUCCAGGAGCUCCGUGUCUCUACUGUAUGAAGAGCCCAGAACUGGACACAGCACUCCAGAUGUGCCUCACCAGGGCUGAGCAGAGGGGCAGGAUCCCCUCCCUCAGUCUGCUGGCAAUGCGCUUCCUGACGUACCCCAAGAUACCAUCGGCGUUCUGUGUCACAAGGGUACACUGCCAGCUCAAUUUGUGUCUUUUGGACAAUAACAAAGAAAGCAAGAGGAUUGCCAGAAAAAUAAGUCUGCUUUUUAAAGAUACCACCAAGUCUUUGAUGUAAUUUUUAAUAGUUACUUUGCAAUCACACCAAAUAAUAUUAUGCUCAGAGGAUAUAGACAAAAUAGUGGGAUAUUUCAUCCACAGCAAUACUACUGGAGCAAAUUCUUCUGGGUUUAAAAUCAGAACUUUAUUGCACUAUUGCCAAGAGAGUGAUAGUAAUUUGAAUAGUCUAAAAAUUUGUUCCAGUUUGAAGAAAGCCAAGAUUUAGCACAGUGUUAGUAGAUUAACUCCACAGAGCUCUCCUAACUGUGCAUGAAAACUUCAGUCGCAAGUUUUGAGCACAGGUUAAGUUGACUUCUGUGUUUUGCUUUCCUCCAGAUUAUUUUAUAAAUCUCAGGAUCUGUAAGAAAAACUUACCUUCAAAAUACCUAUCAGUGUAUUUUCUGGAGUUUUAUCAGCUAAAGAAAUGCUAAUUCUAAUCCUAGCUUUUAAAUAUAUUAAAUUAUAAUCUAUAAAAAUAUAUAUUUUAAUAAUAAACGUAUUGCAAUAUUUUGCAUAAGCUACAAUAUUAUUUAAUAAAGUCUUUAAAGCAAUACUCAAUAUUCAACUGCCUUUAAAACAACACUUCAAUUCCUUUUAUUUAGAUAUGUAGUUCUUUUUAUUCAAUAAUAGUGCAUGUGUUAUUUGUUCAGUAAGUGUUUGGUAUGAAUCUCAUCAUAAUGGAAAUAUGGAAUUUGAGAUCUUUUUAGCAUAAGAAACACUUAAACAGUUUCUGUUAUCACUUGACAGAAAGAGAUUAAGUCCCAGAGAUUUAUAUUUGUAUAACGAAUUAUUGUCUCAUCUAAACCACAGAAUCAGUAGGUUGGAAGAGACUUUCAAGAUCAUCAAGUCCAACCCAUGCCCCAACACCUCAACUAAACCAUGGCACCGAGUGCCACAUCUGGAUACACUGAAACACUCCACAAGUGGCUCAGCUGAGGAAAGAACAGUACAUAUUUUACUUUGUGAUAUUGAACCACAGUGCAGAUAUUAAGAGAUCAAAGACAAUCAGGUGAAGGAGUAAGCAUGCCAAAAUAAUACCCUGGUUUCAGCAUCACGUCUGCUUUUGGAGUGUUUAAAACAAAGAUGUGAAAAUUUGAUUUACAUAAACAUUUUUAGUCAAUGGAGCUACCAUUUCAGAAUUAGUAUUUUUCAUUUGAUUCACACAUGUAUAAUACAUUCCACUGCUGUUUUAAAAAAAGUAAUCUUACCAUCAUCUGAGUUUUUAAGGAAAAGACUAAGGACUCAAACAAGGUCAUGCAAUGCUAGCUGAGAGGAAUAUACAUGAGUUGCAUAGACCAAAGAGGAAUAAAGAGACUGCAUUGAUGGGGGCAGAGGGAGAGAGAUCACGAAUCAUUAACUAUGGCUUUAUGCUUCACGUCUCUCUACAGUGGGUUUAACCCUAUUAACUGAUUUCCAUUCAUUCUGUCAUUUCCAUGGAAUAAGAUCCUAAGUCUUCUCCAGGUGAGAAAUGAAUACUAUGCAAUCCAAUAACUUUUGUACCUAUUGUUAGCAUACAUAAGGCACAUCAGUGGCACCAAUGUUUAUUCUUAACAUGUGAAGUAAUCACCAAAUUUCACAACUCUGGCAGUGUUCACUCCUGUAAAAGUGAUGAGAUAUUUCUAAAGCCUUCUAGUGAGAGAAUAAACCAAUGGGUUUUAUCCAUGUUUUGCAGGUCACUGGACGUUCAAAACAGCAAAGCAAAUUAAAAGAACCACUUUACUUUUUCUAUCACAGUAAUUUUGCACUUGAGUAUAUGAGCAUUUGCUAAUAUAAAAGCUAUUGGGGAAGAUAUGAAGGGAACUUCUAACACUGCCUUAUAAGGUAGAAAAUAAAUGUUGCAUUUCAAAUCCAGCUCUCCUUGAAAUUUAUUUCAUUUUAAAAGGCAUCUUGAGCACCAGAUUUUUGUCUCUGGAGACUUAAAAUCAAACAAAUCCACUUAAAUUGAAAACAGAGUUUUCUAAUUAUCAUGCUGUAACCUCAGCCUGAAGAUCAAGUAGCUACAUUUUGAUUUAUGUCUCAUCACUACUAUUGAUAUUUCUUCAGGCCAUAAAAUUUUUAUCCCUUGUCCUUCUACUCUUCAUGGUCUUCCUCAGUUGUUCCCUUCUGUUAUUGUUGCUGUUGUUAUUAUUAUCAUUAUUAUUACUAUGUUUCCUUGAAUAUUUUUCCAGAUAUUGUUUAGGUGCCUCCUUUUUUGGGAAUAAGUUAGCAAGUCUGUUAGUACUCUGUGCGCCUAUUUUUACUUCUCUACAAAUUUCCCAAAAGAAUAAAUAUUUCCUUAGACUCAAGAUGUGAAAUAAGGGGGGGGGGGGGAGAAAAAAAAAUUUUAUAUACUUUUCUGAACUUGAACACGGUUGUGGAGAAACUGGUGUGUGCUGCACCCUCCAUAAGUACUCUGAGAGAGCACAAGCUGCAGGAAUGGCUAACACAACUCAAGCAGAGUAAGAUGCUGCAGCAGCAAAUUAUUGGAAACUAUCAGUUCUUUCCUCAGGAGCUCUUGGGAUGGCAGACUAAGCAUGGAGAGUGUCCAUAGAGACUUCUUCUCUACUGUAUUCUAGCAAAACAAAUAUACAGGGUUGAAGUCACUGUGUAUUUCCAGAUUGUCCUCUGAGAGCUCUGAUAGCUGUGCUGAGUUGGCAGGGCCAAAAAUUGAACACAGCAGUCUCCAUAGAAUGCAUUUUAUUUCUUUGUAACCCACUCUGAUAAGAGAAAGGUCAGGUGUUUCCAUAUAUUCUCUGUAAACCUUCUUUGAAUUUAAUCCAUUGAAUGGGAUACCAAUUACACAGAAUGAUCCAAGCUUUUGGAUAAAAUGAUACCACUUCAUUCAUCCCAGUAAGUAAUACCAUUAUUCUACUUCUCCUGCUAUUUGAGAAAAUAGGACCAGUUUUUUGAAUGUCCCAUAUAAGAAGUGCAGCCUUUUCUGAUCACAGACAAAGCUGAGUAUUUUUAGUGGCUUUUCCCUUUUAAUUUCCAGUCUCCUGAAAGAGACUCCCCUCUCCUAUUAUGGUUUUUUGGGUUCCCUAACAUUUAUCAGUCCAAUUAGUGUUGUCAGCUUUUUUGCUUCUCUUCUGUCUGUCUGAUAAUGCAGAGAUAAUGCACAGGAUAUCUCCUGAGCAAAAUAAAAAUGUCUAGUUUGAACUUCCCUAUGCAAAAAUGUCUAAAAUUGGACAAUAACUUAACAACUGCAUUUCCAAAGUCUUGCACAGUGGACAUUUAAUUUUCCUUUAAACAAAUGUGUAACAUGAUGGGGGGUGUGGGUCAGAGACAGAGAUGGCACACACUCACACUCUCAAGUUCUCUUGACAAACAGCCUUGAGUUAUUCUCAAGCUCCUUCUAGAGGAGCUCCAGUUGCCCUGGGGAUUCAGUGAGGUCUUAGUCCCUCAGCUCCCUGACCAGUGAUACCUCUGCAUUUAGGGCUGAAUGACAUUUGGCUGAGGGUCCCUGUGUAGAUGUGAAUCCUACCUUUCCUUGCAGCAAUUCCUCCUUGCCCACCCAGGGACUCCAAUGCUACAGAAAUUGACUUCUUCUUCAAGGCCUCUUUUAGGAGCGGAUUUCCCACUGCUGAAACAGUAAACUCAGUUUUGUCUUUCAGAGACUCUUUGGAAUUGCCUCUCUCCCACAGAGCUGCAGUUUCCUGUCCUUUCUGUUACCUACCUUUGCUAAUCAUAGCUCAUGUGGAAUUGAUAUUUGUUCAGAGGUUUCUGCAACCUAAAAAUGCCAGUCUUCAUGGGACAUGGAGAAAAUUAAGAAAAUAAAACCAGUAAAUUGUGGUUACAAUCCUAAUCCAAGAUGGAAAUUCAAUCCACGCAUUUUCAUCUUCCUGCAAAAUAUAUUUAAUACUCAUCUCCAUAGUUAUAUUUGUAUUCUCUGUCUCCUCUAAUGUACUUCUAAACUUGUCAUUCUAAGAUAUAAAACCUUAUUGAACAUAGAUUGUACAGUAAAGACUUUCAAAAGAUAAUUACAAGUUCAAAGACUUCAGUUAGAGCAGCGGUUCCUCAGUAGAAGCAAAUGGAUCCUCUUAGUCACUAGGUAAAUGCACAAAGAAAGUUAGGCUGGGAUCUCAAGAUGGAAGUUGGAAACGCAAAGCAAGAUGGAGUACUUUUGUUCUCUGAAAAAUAAAAAGCUGUGUGUCUUGGAGGCUGCCUAGCAGGGAUAACUGAAAUUUAGGCAAGGAACAAGGAUAUUGUGCUUACCCUGCAGUGCUUGCAUAGAAAUUACCCAUAAAGACCCAAAGAGUACAAGGUGCUUCAAAAUAGGUGAGAACGCAGAUUUAAAGGCAUGACUUGGAGCAGAUCCUGAAAACUCCUGUGCCCAGACAUGAGCAGAAAGCUGGAUGUUAGCACAGGUUGUUUCCUUGCCAGGGCAACAGAUUUUACACUCUCUAUAGCUUUAACAGCAAACUUACAUGAAGUUAAAGCCUUAAAGUUGAACCCAGAUUUUGGCUUAUUUGUUUCCUUUUAAGCUGUAGUAGAGAAAAGACUGGCAAUGCCUGCAUCAUUUUCCAUAGUAUUGAAACAGGCAACAAAUUAUCAGUGUUAAUAUAAAUAAGAAAUAACACAGGUUGGAAUCAUACUCUUCUAUGGGUUAAAAACUAAAAUGAUCAGCAUGAAGCACCCUCAUCUCUCAGUAAAUGGAGCACAGAUAAAGGCUGCAUGUGUUGGCUCCAGGCUCUGUAAUCAUCUUCCACUUGAGCAUGGGCGGUUGGUGAAAUAAGCAGUUACACUGAUAAACAUAGGACCUCUCUCAGAUUGGGCUAUGGACCUAGAAAGAGGUGGCCUGGUGGAUAAGCAGUGCCAAAUCUAAGCUGAGGUUACAAACAUAGUGAUAAGUUACCCAAGAGGAAGAACUGCCAACAGAGGAAGUUCAUCCCCAGUCUCAGAAAUCCAAUCUAAUUUUUGUCUCAAAGGGGAAGAAUUUACAACUUGUUUGGGGGUUUUUUUAAUAAGAUAUCACACGCUCUAGAAUUUUUCUCUGUGUUAAAUGUACAGAGCAGAAUUCAACAUUAGGAUUCCUCUAGAAGACUAAAGUGGUGUUUGCCAUGUUCAUUCUUACUGAGGGAUUAUGGAGUCAUGUUUUCACCAGAAUUAUGGUUGUUCACAUUGCAUGUAAACACAUAUUUUUGAAAUGUUUUGAAGCAUUUCAGUUCAGUGCUUGCUAGGAAUUGGGCAUAGUGAUUUGUUCAAGCUCAUUUGGCAUUUUUUUUCAAAAAGUUGGUUUUCUCUGAGUUUUUCUGCUCUUGCUUGUUUCUAAAUUAAAUUAAUAACAAAAUUUUCAUCUACGGGGACCACUGACAAUUUACCCACUAGAAUUUUCAAGUAUUUUAGGUGCAGAUUUAAGCAGACUAUUGGGCUAUAAAUCAAUCUAAUAUUGUAAUUGCCCUUCACAUUCAGCUGUUUAUUGUUUCUUGGAUAUCAGUUACACAUCAAGCAGAUGUUUCUUUUAGAGAUGGACACAAUGGCUUCUAGAUAUUUUCUAUUAAUCCAAUGAAUUUAAAAGCAAGGAAUAAAAAAUUGGUAUCCAGAGUUCUGAAGUACAUCUUUCUGCAUUUUGUCAAAAUGCAUGUUGCAUAUUGGUUUAUUUCUCGGUGGCCCCUUUUAACAUAAUCUCUGAGAUGUCUUGUCUUUUCAGUUCUAUCCUACUUACAUAUUUAUCGACUUCCUAUUUUGACAUCUCACUUUGAGUCAUAAUCUUAUAUUCUAAUUAAAGUAUAUUCAGCAUCAAUCUUUAUAUGAAUACCAGGUGGUGGAAUAUUAGCACUUUAUUAUGGCUUUACAAUUAUUCCAAUUGCUUUUUAUCAUAAUCUCAUCCAGACUUUUUAACUUCUCCCAACUGAGCCUGGUCCAAAGAGAUACUUAAGAUAUGACAAUAUUGACACAGAGUGCAAGAUUUUUUGUAAUGACUGGUUGUUUUAUUGGUAGGUGAAUGGAAAAUAUUUUGAAUAUUUGGGUAUUCACUCUGAGUUUGUCUGUGAAAUCAGGAAGAAUUAUCUCUGCAGAGAACCUCACAAGAGGGUGCAAGGACUGUGAGCCUUUUGCAGGCUCUUCUAACGCAUUAUAUAAUGACAACACUGAAAAAAUUAUCCUGAAUUAAAUACAAAAAUGUAACCUAUGUUCUCUGUGUUUUCUGUGUAUCUGCUGUUCUUGUGCUCCAGAUCUCUUUCUCAGAAUUUCUACUUGCCCUAUGUCCCAGAAAUAUUUUCUGUAAUAUUGUAUUAUGUUUAGCAUUACCAUAAAUAUACUUCUGAGUAAAACCCACUUAUUUUGUAAAUAUUUAUGAAUUGUUGAAAAUCAUUCAGCUCAUCCCAGUAUCUGUGGAUUCAGCUGGAAGAAUGAGGUAAGCAUAACAUUACAGUGGUAAAUAAUUCACUUAAGGAAUACAAUGUAUAUGCUUCAGAGGUACAGGUACCUCAGUAGAAUCCUGCAUGUUUCUGUCCUUUCAACAAAAGGGGCAGGUAUUUCCAUCACAUGGAAAUUGGUUGGCACAACUAGUUCUCUGUGAGAAUUAGAAAAAGGGACAGCAUAACUGAUUUUGUCAAGGGCAAAAGGAGAGUGAAGGGCAGUACAACAAACAUAUAUUUUUUUUAUAUAUAUAUAUAUAUAUAUAUAUAUGCAUAUAAUUUAAAAUAUUUGAAUGAUCCUUAUCCUAGCAAAGGACGGUUAAGAGUGAUAAAUGUAAUAACUGUGAAAAAUAAACAUGAGAACUCAUUUAAGCUUUUUACUAAAACCGCAAAAGUUUGACUUACCAUAAGCUAUAAAAUAUGUCAUUAAAUCAUUAGCCUUUACAAAUUGCCUGUUGUGGUUUCUGAGAUACUCCUUUCUCUCCCACUACUCUGGUUAAUUGUGUCCAACUCCAGGAAGUGAUACCUGUAAGCAAGUUCCAAUGUCAGACAGACAAAGAAAGUAAAAUAUGAAGUCAUAUUGUACGGCAGUGAGAAAUCCUGUUCACCUCAGCAGGUCUCAUCAUAGGUGCAUAGGUGGUAAGAUCUGUCUCUAAAAUGAUGCUGUGCUAAAUAUGAGGUACAGCAGACAUUUAAUAAAUGGGCUACAUCAAGUCAGUUCAAAGAUCUUCUGUAGAGUAUAGUCUAUGUAGCAAUAAAAAUCUCCACAAUUUUUAUUAAUUCCAUUAAAGUAGCACGCUACCUCCAAAUAUUUAUAGAGAUCAAGCAGACUCACUUCAGGACAAGUCCUUCAUACAUACCAGAGGGACCUUUCCUGAAAUGUAAACAGUUGGCAUCUGCUGAACUGUAAUCCCUAAAUCAGAAACACAAAUGUUUGGAUUAACAAAAAAUGGAAAGCCUCAUUCUUUAUUGCUGACCUCCCAGUACAUAUUUUUUCACUUUCAGUGUUGUGUGCAUGACCAGCAUUCUUUAUUCAGGACUGGAAAUGCAGUGAAUUUCUGGCAUAGUCACCACAAAGGACAGUGGUGAUUACAUUCAAGCAAGCACAAACCCUCAGUGAUGCUCACUGACUUCAGAAGAUUUGAAAUCAAGCCAUGAGUUCAACGGUGCACACGUGAUUCAGUAUGAAGCAACUGAGAUUUGACACCCUUAAGAAUCAGAUAAAUAAAAGGAUAUUUAUUUUACCCCUUUUAAAGAGUAUAUUGAUCUGAGAAGGGAGGAACUUGAGGAAAUAUAAAAUACAAGCUUGUGAGUACCAUCAUUGAAGUCCAUUUGGUUUUAUACACAGAGAGUUUUAGCAUCCCACUACACCAGGGACUGUAUUCAAUAACUGUUAAAUGAAAACAUUUAACAGACCUGGAAUUGCUGUCUGUCAUAUGUACAUGCAUAUAUAUGUAAUAUAUAUGUAAUACAGAAUGAAUAUCCCAUUGUAUAAACUAAAGCUAUGAAUAAUAAAUAAUGAACAAACUGCUUUAAUUGGAAUGCUGAGGGAAUGAAAUUUGAAAUUUUUUUCCAAAGUAAUUUAUUUUUGAAUAUUUUUGAAAUGGUGGUGUCUUUUCCUUGAAGAGAUUAAAUACACAGCAAUUGAAAAGCAGUGAAAAGUUGAAGAACGAGAAUGAAGUUCUAGGUGUUGGUGCUGAGAGCCAGGGGCAAAGCAGUGAUCUUGGAAUGUCUGCCUUUUCUGGUUUGUGCUGUGGCUUUAGGCUUUAUGGAUCCCAGUAGGACGAGCCAUGAUCAAGCUGGGGUUUCAUGGAUUUCAGUCUUUUACUCUUCCCAAGCCACACUCCAGCCACUGCUUCCAGCCUUAUAGCAGUCUCCAAAAGUUGGUGGAGCUUUUGCAGAUCCAUAGCAGGAGGUGAAAGAUCUAAGUGCUCCAGGCCAGCCGACCUGGUGAGGGGCUUCUCUGCAGCUCUGCUGCUCAGGGGAGUGGAUUGGUAUCUGCUCAUUGGAGCUGGCAGUGCCAUCUCUGAACCAGCUCCUCUUUGGAGCUUGAGGCACUCACCAGCUGUUGCCUUUGGCAAGGUGACAGGGAAGCAGUCACAUUUCCUCUGAAUUCUGCCUAGCAUUACACACACUUGUGACAGGUACUUAGUGUACACUCAUUUUUUUCCUUUUGGAUUUCACAAAUCUAUUUGGGAAGUAAAUUUUAAGUAAGUUUAAAAGAAGACUGGAAUUGUCUACAUUAAAAAAGUUUGAUGCCUUGAAACUGCUACAAAACAAUAAAAAAUAAAAUCCAUAAAAUACCCCUAAGUACAAUUUUAAUUGUUUCAAUAAGUUCUUUCAAGUUGCAUUUCCAUGUUAUUAAUUUCUGGACAGUAGACUUCAUUAUACUGUGUAAGAAAAGGGGAAGGCUUUCAAAUAAGGUUGCAUAUUGAAUUUUAGGUCUGUGCAUUAGAAUUUUCAUAUGACUUCAAAAUUAUCAAAAUAAUUACUUCUUGUCUAUGCAAACAUGAAGGGUUUGUCUUCAUUCCCACUCCGACAUAACAAAUCCAAAAUUCUUGGCAGUAUAAAAAUGUGCCCUGAAACCUAUUGUCAAUAUUCACCUGUUUCCCUUUUCAUAAGAGAAUGUGAUUUUACCAGACAUCUAUCCAGCUACCAGAAAAGCUGAUUCCUAUGGGAUACAUACAUGGUUAAUGUCUUAAGAGACUCAGCUCUUAAUUUUUGAGAAAACUGUACAACAUUUCAAAAAAACCCAGACUUUAAAAAGCAGAAAAGAAACCAGAAGGGGGAAAAAAAUGAAAAAUAAGAAAAACCUUAAUGUUACAAUCCAUUGAUAAAAUUAAAUUAGUUACCAUGGAUUUAGCUUAGCUUAGGUAAAAUAUUUGGGGACACAAAAAAUAUUUCAUAAACACAAUGAGAUCUUCUGUCACAUAAAAUCCUUAUCCUUUCUUCAAGGGCCUGUCAAGAAAACUAGGUUUACCACCUAAAUUUUAUUUUUCAAAGUAAAAGAUAGAAUGUUCUGAAAAUCAAGCUGUCACUAGUUAAUGCUGUCAAAAUAACAUGUCAAUUUUACACACUUGUUCAAUUGUACUUCAUUUUUUCUUCCUCCUCAUUUUAAAUGAUGUUUGUUCAUUUCUUAUUCUCUGGGCCCUUUCUUCAGAGUCCCAAGGAAACAAAACAUAAAAUCAAUGAUGCCAAAGUUUAUGUAGGCUUAAUAUUGGGAUGAAGAAUGAAGGUGCCUGAUCCUGCUGUCAAUAAAAUGUAUUUGUGUAGUUCUCCAUGUAGCACUUUGAAUAGGAUGAGUGACAGCAAUCUCAGUCUGAGAAGAGGAAGAGCCUUAUGGCCCUACUGUAUGCUUGGCUGUUUUUAGAAUAGCCCAAAACAAACCAUUCAUGAUCCUUAAAGAGAUUCAGAUUACCACAUGGAGACAGGCAAAGUAGCCAUGCACAGUGCUGAGGAGUUCCAGGCUUUUUUCCAUGUACUGCCCUGCUAGGAGAGCAUGCCAAGGAUUGCAGUUGAUCAAGAAAGAGGAGAAAUGUUUCCUCCAAGGAAUCUUUGGAUUCAGCAGGAAGUUCUCAUGGUUCCUGUAGUCACUUGGGGUUAGAUUAUGGUAAUUAGUUGAUUCAUCUAGUCUUUAGUGCCUCCAAUAAGAAUGUCCUCCAAGGCAACCACAGGCAGAAGGGGACAUCUGAUGUGCCACACCAUUAGGUCAAAUAUGUAGACACUAGAAAAGGUUGUAAAUUGAUGUUCCGGUCGCUUUGUGUGUGUGUGCAUUGCAUGGAUAACCACAUGUGUAUCCAUAGGGAUGCUAGAUCCCUGAAAGGAUCUUGAAUUACUUGUUUUGGCUUUGUUACUUCCUUUUGAUACUGUGCUGUCUGUAUGAAUUGAAAGUGAGAAAGGAGUUAAUACCAUAUCUGUUCAUCGUAAACCCUUCCUGACUGAUGACUUCCCUUCUCCUGGCAUCCAGCAUUGUAGCAGAAAGCAACUGGUAUAACCUGCAGCUACAGCUACUUCCAAAGUUCAGCUUCUUUUCCCUAAUACUGAUGUUCAGGCUCAGAAAAAAAAUGUUUCUGAGGAAAAGUUAUACAUGCAACUUCAGGCUGUUGCUUCUCUGGGUGAUACUUACCUGUUUUUCCUACAGAGAAUCAUGUGAAUUGUUACCUAUCCUUUCAUCCCCAUGUUCAUCUCUUAAUAUUUGUCAGUAUAAGACACACCAUUUAAAAGAAAUUUUCUGCCCAGACUGGGCAAUUUCCUUGUUACAACAAUACUUUUUUUUUUUCUUAUUUUGUCUUGUGGUUUCGUAAGUGUUAACAGAUUCUUACCCAGUGCUUUUUGAAAUGCUUACUGAUCCGCACAGACAGAAAAGGUAAACAACAGCUAAGCAAUUGGUCUGACAGAUAGUGCAGUCCCUCAGGAGGCAUUAAUAACAUCCACACCAACACUGAGUUAUUCUCUCUCAGGAGCACCAUUAGCAGAUAUUUCAUCACCACUGUGCCUGUAAUUCUGCAGCACCAGUCCCAAGGCUGGCCAGUUCUCCUCAGCAAAGGUCAAACUGUAGGCAAAACCACUUCACUGUUAAAAAAAAAAAGUAGAAACCAGCCUAAAGUGUUAAACUUCCAUUAGUAUGGACACUUACAGAAAAAAUAAUUAAACUGUGAACACAAGGGAGUAGUGCAUUGACUUAUUUUUAAUUGUAUACAAAGGGACAGCUUGCAUCUAAUUUUUUGUUUAGAUUAAUAAUUCAUUUUGGUUUAAGUAUGUUUUGGUCCUGAGUUAUUAAAAAAAAUAGUGGUUUUGAGAAGAACACAGUGUCAUUAUAAAUGUAAGUUGGGUAUGAACUAUGAAUGGGAUGCUAUUUGAUGACAAAUGUAAUCUUGGUGAGAGUAAAUAGGUGAAUAGUAUUCAGAAAUUGGCAGGUUUUUCACAUUUGUCAAAUUUACUGGAAAACCAUGCACCUUUAUGGUUUGUUGAAAAAGGUAUGGUAAGUCAAAAAUAGAUACAUAAAAUAAUUCUGAAAAUAAAUUUAAAAAAACAAGAAAAUGUACCAGUAGUGAAAUACUAAAUAAAUUCUUAGCUAUUAAAUCAGUUGAGAAAAGACUGAGAAGUAACUUGACUACAGCCUUCAGGUACCUACAGGCAAAAAGUAUUCCUGACAGUAAAGAACCCUCUCAUUUAGGAGGAAGGAAUGUGUAAUUAACUGGAGCCAAGAAUUCCAGUCUGUUCCCCCAUCACCAAAUUAACAAUGAGAGCUUUCAACCAUUAGAGCCAUCUGGGUCUCCUAGAAAGAUAUGCUACAUCUCAUUCAGAAACUGCAGAGGAUGAUAGAUAACAUUUUGGGACCACACAGGAGGUUAGACUAGACCAUAAUGCAUCGUUUCUUCUGCCCUUAAUAUCUAUUUCUGAAUCUAAAUAAAAAGGGAAUAAGGUUAACAGAAUCUGGCCCUCAGUCAUAUAUAUUUUAUCAUUUAAUUGCAUUUCCAUUUGAGGAUUAUAAUUCAGUUCUAUUAUGACUUCAUCUCUGAAAUUUUUCUACAGGAUACCAGAAAUAGAGUAUUUCUUAUUCUCAUAAUUAAACUUUCAACCAAAUAAAAGUUCUUCAGCUUGUGACUCUGAAUUAGCAUGUGAAAAAUUUAAACAAAUAUAAUUUUAGCUUCUUUGUUAUGAAUAAACAGAGCAAUAGCAAUCAUAUAGCACAACAAAGUGUUAAUAUCUGUUACAGCCCUUGAGCUAUACAAAUGUGUGGUUUUGUUAUGAACAUGCUUGAUAUGCUAUGCCUUGACUAGAUCUUAUUUCGUUCUGUUUCUACAGGUUAGUGAGACUUUAAUCAAGAAAAAAAAAUCUAAUGAACAGUAAUUUGAAACACAGCAUUUGGAAAGGUCAGAAUGGUACAUUACAUCCUUAUUAUCCAAAAGAACAGAUGAGUUUAAUAUCCUGGCAGCAUUUUCCUGUGAAGAAGAUAUUAAACAAGAAAUGAAAAUGGCACAAGGUUCUUGCUUCCUUUUCUAUGACAAAGAUUGUAACAAGAUGAUGGAACUACACAGAAUAAAUCCCUUUCUGCUUUAA